CACCAGCCCCUCGAGUGGUGGGGAUGAUUAUUUGGCCUAAAGCGUCCGUAGCCGGCCGGGUAAGUCUCCCGUUAAAUCCAGCGUCUCAAGCGUUGGACUGCGGGAGAUACUGCCUGGCCAGAGAGUGGGAGAGGUGUACGGUAUUCUGGGGGUAGGGGCGAAAUCCUUUGAUCCCCGGAGGACCACCAGUGGCGAAGGCUGUACACUAGAACACGUCUGACGGUCAGGGACGAAAGCUGGGGUAGCGAACCGGAUUAGAUACCCGGGUAGUCCCAGCCGUAAACGAUGCAUGCUAGGUGUUGGGUUGGCCACGAGCCACCCAGUGCCGCAGGGAAGCCGUUAGGCAUGCCGCCUGGGAAGUACGAUCGCAAGAUUAGAAACUUAAAGGAAUUGGCGGGGAGCACCACCAGGCGUGAAGCCUGCGGUUU
rnacentral:rRNA from 1 species